ACGGCCGUACCAUGCUGAAUAUACCGGUUCUCGUUAGAUCACCGAAGUCAAGCAUCAUUGGGCGCGGUCAGUAUUUGGGUGGGCGACCACCUGGGAACACCUCGUGCCGUCG
rnacentral:rRNA from 1 species